rnacentral:rRNA from 1 species
UGCGUAGGCGGGUCUUUAAGUCAGGGGUGAAAUCCUGGAGCUCAACUCCAGAACUGCCUUUGAUACUGAAGAUCUUGAGUUCGGGAGAGGUGAGUGGAACUGCGAGUGUAGAGGUGAAAUUCGUAGAUAUUCGCAAGAACACCAGUGGCGGAGGCGGCUCACUGGCCCGAUACUGACGCUGAGGCACGAAAGCUGGGGAGCAAACA